rnacentral:rRNA from 1 species
AUUGAACGCUGGCGGCGUGCCUAAUACAUGCAAGUAGAGCGAAGCGGCGGGUGGAUGAGUAACGCGUGGGUAACCUGCCCGUAAGUCUGGGAUACCAUUUGGAAACAGAUGCUAAUACCGGAUACUAAAGUAUGUACCUGCGAUGCAUUAGAUAGUUGGUAAGGUAACGGCUUACCAAGGAGAAGAUGCAUAGACGAGUUGAGAGACUGCUGGGCCACCUUGGGACUGAGACACGGCCCAACCUCCUACGGGAGGCAGCAGUAGGGAAUCUUCCACAAUGGACGAAAGUCGGAUGGGGCAACGCCGCGUGAGUGAAGAAGGUUUUCGGAUCGUAAAGCGCUGUUGUUGGUGAAGCGGUAAUCAACCAGAAAGUCACGGCUAACUACGUGCCAGCAGCCGCGGUAAUUC